rnacentral:rRNA from 1 species
AGCGAACGCUGGCGGCAGGCUUAACACAUGCAAGUCGAGCGGGCGUAGCAAUACGUCAGCGGCAGACGGGUGAGUAACGCGUGGGAACGUACCUUUUGGUUCGGAACAACACAGGGAAACUUGUGCUAAUACCGGAUAAGCCCUUACGGGGAAAGAUUUAUCGCCGAAAGAUCGGCCCGCGUCUGAUUAGCUAGUUGGUGAGGUAAUGGCUCACCAAGGCGACGAUCAGUAGCUGGUCUGAGAGGAUGAUCAGCCACAUUGGGACUGAGACACGGCCCAAACUCCUACGGGUGGCUG